rnacentral:tRNA from 1 species
UCAAGAAAAAAGAAUUUCUUUAUCAUUAAUCCCCAAAAUUAAUAUUUUUAAUUAAACUAUCUCUUG